AUCGAACGCUGGCGGCAUGCCUUACACAUGCAAGUCGAACGGCAGCACGGGUGCUUGCACCUGGUGGCGAGUGGCGAACGGGUGAGUAAUACACCGGAACGUACCUUAUCGUGGGGGAUAACGCAGCGAACGCUGUGCUAAUACCGCAUACGCCCUGAGGGGGAACGCGGGGGAUCGCAAGACCUCGCGCGAUGAGAUCGACCGAUGCCUGAUUAGCUAGUUGGUGGGGUAAAAGCCCACCAAGGCGACGAUCAGUAGCUGGUCUGAGAGGAGGAUCAGCCACACUGGGACUGAGACACGGCCCAGACUCCUACGGGAGGCAGCAGUGGGGAAUUUUGGACAAUGGGGGCAACCCUGAUCCAGCAAUGCCGCGUGAGUGAAGAAGGCCUUCGGGUUGUAAAGCUCUUUUGUCAGGGAAGAAACACCGGCUCUAACACAGUCCGGGAAUGACGGUACCCGAAGAAUAAGCACCGGCUAACUACGUGCCAGCAGCCGCCGUAA
rnacentral:rRNA from 1 species